GCGAGGAUCAUUAACGCGCAGGCCGGAGGCUGGCCCCCCACGAUAGGAAUCAACGUUCCAUCAGGGGUGUGCAGAUGUGCGCCGGCCUUACGCCCCAUUCUUGUCUACCUUACUCGGUUGCCUCGGCGGGCCGCGCUCUCCUGGGAGAGUCGUCCGGCGAGCCUCUUUGGGGGCUUUAGCUGGAUCGCGCCCGCCGGAGGACAGACAUCAAAAAAUCUUGGAAAGCUGUCAGUCUGAGCGUUAGCAAGUAAAAUUAGUUAAAACUUUCAACAACGGAUCUCUUGGUUCCGGCAUCGAUGAAGAACGCAGC
rnacentral:misc_RNA from 1 species